GACUACUGGGGUAUCUAAGCCUGUUUGCUCCCCACGCUUUCGCUUCUCAGCGUCAGGAAAUGUCCAGAGAACCGCCUUCGCCACUGGUGUUCCUCCUGAUAUCUGCGCAUUCCACCGCUCCACCAGGAAUUCCGUUCUCCCCUACAUCCCUCAAGUCCGCCCGUAUCGAAAGCAGGCUCGGGGUUAAGCCCCGAGUUUUCACUUCCGACGCAACGGACCGCCUACAAGCUCUUUACGCCCAAUAAUUCCGGACAACGCUCGCACCCUACGUAUCACCGCGGCUGCUGGCACGUAGUUAGCCGGUGCUUCUUCUGCAGGUACCGUCAGAAACCCUUCGUCCCUGCUGAAAGCGGUUUACAACCCGAAGGCCGUCAUCCCGCACGCGGCGUUGCUGCGUCAGGCUUUCGCCCAUUGCGCAAUAUUCCCCACUGCAGCCCCCCGUAGG
rnacentral:rRNA from 1 species